AUUUUCCUCAGUAACGUAGUCUAAUCGCGUGAAGUUGACCGCCUGGGGAGUACGGUCGCAAGAUUAAAACUCAAAGGAAUUGACGGGGACCCGCACAAGCGGUGGAUGAUGUGGAUUAAUUCGGAUGCAACGCGAAAAACCUUACCUACCCUUGACAUGCCACUAACGAAGCAGAGAUGCAUCAGGUGCCCGAAAGGGAAACUGUGGACACAGGUGCUGCAUGGCUGUCGUCAGCUCGUGUCGUGAGAUGUUGGGUUAAGUCCCGCAACGAGCGCAACCCUUGUCUCUAGUUGCUACGCAAGGGCACUCUAGAGAGACUGCCGGUGACAAACCGGAGGAAGGUGGGGAUGACGUCAAGUCCUCAUGGCCCUUAUGGGUAGGGCUUCACACGUCAUACAAUGGUGCGUACAGAGGGUUGCCAACCCGCGAGGGGGAGCUAAUCCCAGAAAACGCAUCGUAGUCCGGAUCGUAGUCUGCAACUCGACUACGUGAGCUGGAAUCGCUAGUAAUCGCGGAUCUGCAUGCCGCGGUGAAUACGUUCCGGGGUCUUGUACACACCGCCCGUCACACCAUGGGAGUGGGUUUUGCCAGAAGUAGUUAGCCUAACCGCAAGGAGGGCGAUUACCACGGCAGGGUUCAUGACUGGGGUGAAGUCGUAACAAGGUAACCGU
rnacentral:rRNA from 1 species